rnacentral:lncRNA from 1 species
GAGACCAUACCUCUCUGAUCACAGUGGGCGUGGAGGAGGAAUCUGUUCUAGCUGGUUCCAUGGAUGAGAAAGGACUCAGCAGAUGGAUGAAUGGAAGACAUUUGCACCCAGCUGUUAUUUUUAUAAGAGGCAGGAUACAGAACAAAUGCUCAACACAUAAAGAUAUAGAUAAGUGUUAGUUUUCAUUUCAGAGACUAAUUAGGAUUGGGAGAUAGGACAGGAGAGAUCAGAGGUGCAGAUAGAGGCGAAAGAGAGAAAAGAAGGAAACUACAGAACAUCAGAGCGCCAAGAGUAAGCCCAGAGAGUGAGGGAAGAGGAGAUGCUGACAGAACCAGGCCAGGGCAAGAGGAGGAGGUCCAAGGGAGGAGGCCAGAGAGCAGGUCAGCCUGGCCUGCUUCAUCUGCACCACCCAGGUGACCCAACCCAAGCCCACACACCCAUGGCUCCCGACACGGCCCAGAGCCCCAGCACAAGAACCUACAACCCUGACUCAUAUCACAUUCCUAAGACAACCGACAACUAAACCAGGCAGGUAGCUUUAGAACUACCUGCUAGUUUACUGUUGUAAACUAGUUAGAUGUGAGUUUCAAUUCUUGCUUCAGGUGUAUAUAUUUUUGGUGCGGUUCCACCCAGGGUCAUUCCCAUCUCACAAAAGCUGUGGACCCCUGUGGUACCUCGUGGUGGUUUCCAGGGCCAUGGACUGCUCAAAUGCUGAAAUGCUCACAUCUCAGGUAUCCAAAGUUUCAGGGUGCACCAUGUAGGCCAUCAAGCACUUAAAGCAGGCUGCUGCUCCCUAAACCCUAUCCCAGCACAGCCUGGGCAGUGGCUAGAACCAUGGUGACA